GAAAUCACUGAAGAGUUUGAUAUUCAAUAAAGUUCAUCAGAAGACAGAGAAUCACUGAAAAAAUUUUUGUGAAUGUCUGGGUAGCAUCUCAAAAGUCUGUGCAAACUCAAACUGCUUCUUCAGGAACUUUGAACCAUGAGCAGAACACAAGGUGCCUGAGUCUGGGGGCCUCAGAUUGCUGAAGGAGAAGGGGCAGGCAGCAGAUGGUGAUCCUACUAAAUAGUGACACCUACAAAUGUUGGUUUGUGUACACAGCGUGGGACUGUAUUCACGAUUACACCAAUGGGAAUAUGCAAAUAAUCUUCUGAAGCCAUUACUAAAAAGAAGCUGCUUUAAUGUUAGAGCACUGUAAAUGAGAGAAGA